UGCCAGCAGUCGCGGUUAGACCAAGGAAUUUAGUCAUUUUUUUUGGUAAAAAGACAGUUAAGCAGAAGUAGAAUCAUUGGACCUUUAGUAUAGGGGUAAAAUCUAAAUACUAAAAGUUAUAUCAAGUGUGAUUUAUUUUAGAUGCUGAAUCUGUGACAACUUUAAGGGAAACUGGGAUUGGAUACCCCACUAUUUUUAGUAAUAAAUUUAACUUAAGUUUACCAGAGUACUACGAAUAAAAAGUUUAAAACUCAAAGAGCUUGGCGGUGUUUUAGACCUCUCAGGGGAACCUGUCUCAUAAUCGACAAUCCACGUUAAACCCGACCCUCUAUGGCAAUUCAGCCUGUAUACCGUUGUCGUCAGGUAACUUCUUAAAAUAUAGUAGUUAGCUCGAAAAUUAUAUUAAUUAGUACGUCAGAUCAAGGUGCAGCUAAUAAGAGGGAGAGGAUGGGUUACAAUUAUAUAUUUAUAAUUACAGAAAACACCCUAAAUAAAGUGUUAGAAGGAGGACUUGAAAGUAAUUUUGAUUAUAUAAGCAAAAUGAAUAAGGCUCUGAAACGUGCACACAUCGCCCGCCACUCU
rnacentral:rRNA from 1 species